rnacentral:rRNA from 1 species
AGGAUCAUUUGCAAUGGGCGAAAGCCUGACAAUGCGACGCUGCGUGGAGGAUGAAGGCCUUCGGGUUGUAAACUCCUGUCAUGGGGGAACAGGCGAGGGGAGUCAACACCUCCCUUAGUUGAGUGUACCCCAAGAGGAAUUGGCGGCUAACUCUGUGCCAGCAGCCGCGGUAAUACAGAGGCCAAGAGCGUUGUUCGGAUUUACUGGGCGUAAAGGGCGCGUAGGCGGCAUGGCGUGUCGGAUGUGAAAUCUCCGGGCUCAACCCGGAAAGUGCGUCCGAAACUACCUUGCUGGAGUCCGGGAGGGGGAAUCGGAAUACAGGGUGUAGCGGUGAAAUGCGUUGAUAUCCUGUAGAACACCGGAGGCGAAGGCGGAUUCCUUGAACGGUACUGACGCUGAGGCGCGAAAGUCGGGGGAGCAAACA